UGGGGAAUAUUGGACAAUGGGCGAAAGCCUGAUCCAGCCAUGCCGCGUGUGUGAAGAAGGUCUUCGGAUUGUAAAGCACUUUAAGUUGGGAGGAAGGGCAGUAAGCGAAUACCUUGCUGUUUUGACGUUACCGACAGAAUAAGCACCGGCUAACUCUGUGCCAGCAGCCGCGGUAAUACAGAGGGUGCGAGCGUUAAUCGGAUUUACUGGGCGUAAAGCGUGCGUAGGCGGCUAAUUGAGUCGGAUGUGAAAUCCCCGGGCUUAACUUGGGAAUUGCAUUCGAUACUGGUUAGCUAGAGUGUGGGAGAGGAUGGUAGAAUUCCAGGUGUAGCGGUGAAAUGCGUAGAGAUCUGGAGGAAUACCGAUGGCGAAGGCAGCCAUCUGGCCUAACACUGACGCUGAGGUACGAAAGCAUGGGGAGCAAACAGG
rnacentral:rRNA from 1 species